AAGAAGAAGAAGAAGAAGAUAAACACCUCCGUUUUUCAGGGAGGCUUAUGACUUAACAAGGCUACUUGAGGCGUCAGUUGCGAAAAGCUUUAACAGCCCCUGGGCAGAAUAUUUCUCUGGUAAUGGAGGAAAGAGAGCAUCUCAAGAUGCAGUCUGAAGACACUGAGUCACCUUGGUCUUGGGUAAGGUCUUUAAUCUAGAGUUUCAGGAAUAGCAUGCUGAAGUGGGAGAAAGUUCGAUUCCCCUCAGCCAAGUUUUUUUUU